GGGAAACAGAGGCAGAAGAGAAAUUACUGAAUUUCUUACUACCUACAGCCUAUUGGCAACAUCCUUGAAACAGGC